rnacentral:rRNA from 1 species
AUUGAACGCUGGCGGCAGGCCUAACACAUGCAAGUCGAACGAGUGGCGGACGGGUGAGUAAUGUCUGGGAAACUGCCUGAUGGCGGGGGAUAACUACUGGAAACGGUAGCUAAUACCGCAUACCAUCAGAUGUGCCCAGAUGGGAUUAGCUAGUUGGUGGUGUAACGGCUCACCAAGGCGACGAUCCCUAGCUGUGCUGAGAGGAUGACCAGCAACAAUGGAACUGUGACACGGGCCAGACGCAUACGGGAGGAAGAAGGGGGGAAUAUUGAACAAGGGGCGCAAGCCGGACGCAGCCAUGCCGCGUGCAUGAAGAAGGCCUCUGGGUUGUAAAGUACGUUCAUCGGGGAGGCGGUACCCGCAGAAGAAGCACCGGCUAACUCCGUGCCAGCAGCCGCGGUAAUAC